rnacentral:snoRNA from 1 species
UGAUGUCAUGAUGAUGGCAAAAUGUUCAACUGCUCUGAAUGGGCUGAAUGAAAAUAGCCUUUCUGAACAUCC